rnacentral:lncRNA from 1 species
GGACCCUACGCAGCUCCAUUACUCCCUGGCAGGCCGUAUUAACGAUCACGAUUCUGCUCCACUCCCUGACGAGUCACGACAGCGGACGCCGCUCCACUCUCCGUAACUGAUUCCACGUGGCGAGCCACGACGAUAGCUACGAUCCCACUCCACUAUCCUCCGCAAUGAAUUCCUCCUGACUCUGGGCGGCCCACUACCAGACGGUUACAGGCGUCGCUAUCAAUUUGUUGCCCCCUCCGUCUAUAAAAGGGGGAACCCCAGAUACGUUAUUCUAUAAGCUCUCGUUCUUU